UGGUGGAGUGAUUUGUCUGCUUAAUUGCGAUAACGAACGAGACCUUAACCUGCUAAAUAGUCUUGCGAUUUUCUUAAUCGUAAGACUUCUUAGAGGGGCUAGAUACAUUUAGUAUCUGGAAGUUUGAGGCAAUAACA
rnacentral:rRNA from 1 species